AGCAGCCGCGGUAACACCGGCGGCCCGAGUGGUGAUCGUGAUUAUUGGGUCUAAAGGGUCCGUAGCCGGUUUGGUCAGUCCUCCGGGAAAUCUGAUAGCUCAACUAUUAGGCUUUCGGGGGAUACUGCCAGACUUGGAACCGGGAGAGGUAAGAGGUACUACAGGGGUAGGAGUGAAAUCUUGUAAUCCCUGUGGGACCACCUGUGGCGAAGGCGUCUUACCAGAACGGGUUCGACGGUGAGGGACGAAAGCUGGGGGCACGAACCGGAUUAGAUACCCGGGUAGUCCCAGCCGUAAACGAUGCUCGCUAGGUGUCAGGCAUGGCGCGACCGUGUCUGGUGCCGCAGGGAAGCCGUGAAGCGAGCCACCUGGGAAGUACGGCCGCAAGGCUGAAACUUAAAGGAAUUGGCGGGGGAGCACAACAACGGGUGGAAGCCUGCGGUUUAAUUGGACUCAACGCCGGACAACUCACCGGGGGCGACAGCAAUAUGUAGGCCAAGCUGAAGACUUUGCCUGAAUCGCUGAGAAGAGGUGCAUGG
rnacentral:rRNA from 1 species